UGCUACAGGCUUAACACAUGCAAGUCGAGGGGCAGCAUGGUCUUAGCUUGCUAAGGCCGAUGGCGACCGGCGCACGGGUGAGUAACACGUAUCCAACCUGCCGUCUACUCUUGGACAGCCUUCUGAAAGGAAGAUUAAUACAAGAUGGCAUCAUGAGUCCGCAUGUUCACAUGAUUAAAGGUAUUCCGGUAGACGAUGGGGAUGCGUUCCAUUAGAUAGUAGGCGGGGUAACGGCCCACCUAGUCUUCGAUGGAUAGGGGUUCUGAGAGGAAGGUCCCCCACAUUGGAACUGAGACACGGUCCAAACUCCUACGGGAGGCAGCAGUGAGGAAUAUUGGUCAAUGGGCGAGAGCCUGAACCAGCCAAGUAGCGUGAAGGAUGACUGCCCUAUGGGUUGUAAACUUCUUUUAUAAAGGAAUAAAGUCGGGUAUGGAUACCCGUUUGCAUGUACUUUAUGAAUAAGGAUCGGCUAACUCCGUGCCAGCAGCCGCGGUAAUACGGAGGAUCCGAGCGUUAUCCGGAUUUAUUGGGUUUAAAGGGAGCGUAGAUGGAUGUUUAAGUCAGUUGUGAAAGUUUGCGGCUCAACCGUAAAAUUGCAGUUGAUACUGGAUAUCUUGAGUGCAGUUGAGGCAGGCGGAAUUCGUGGUGUAGCGGUGAAAUGCUUAGAUAUCACGAAGAACUCCGAUUGCGAAGGCAGCCUGCUAAGCUGCAACUGACAUUGAGGCUCGAAAGUGUGGGUAUCAAACAGGAUUAGAUACCCUGGUAGUCCACACGGUAAACGAUGAAUACUCGCUGUUUGCGAUAUACUGCAAGCGGCCAAGCGAAAGCGUUAAGUAUUCCACCUGGGGAGUACGCCGGCAACGGUGAAACUCAAAGGAAUUGACGGGGGCCCGCACAAGCGGAGGAACAUGUGGUUUAAUUCGAUGAUACGCGAGGAACCUUACCCGGGCUUAAAUUGCAGAUGAAUUACGGUGAAAGCCGUAAGCCGCAAGGCAUCUGUGAAGGUGCUGCAUGGUUGUCGUCAGCUCGUGCCGUGAGGUGUCGGCUUAAGUGCCAUAACGAGCGCAACCCUUGUUGUCAGUUACUAACAGGUUCCGCUGAGGACUCUGACAAGACUGCCAUCGUAAGAUGUGAGGAAGGUGGGGAUGACGUCAAAUCAGCACGGCCCUUACGUCCGGGGCUACACACGUGUUACAAUGGGGGGUACAGAGGGCCGCUACCACGCGAGUGGAUGCCAAUCCCAAAAACCUCUCUCAGUUCGGACUGGAGUCUGCAACCCGACUCCACGAAGCUGGAUUCGCUAGUAAUCGCGCAUCAGCCACGGCGCGGUGAAUACGUUCCCGGGCCUUGUACACACCGCCCGUCAAGCCAUGGGAGCCGGGGGUACCUGAAGUGCGUAACCGCGAGGAGCGCCCUAGGGUAAAACUGGUGACUGGGG
rnacentral:rRNA from 1 species